GACGAACGCUGGCGGCGUGCUUAACACAUGCAAGUCGAACGGAAAGGCGCUGCUCUUGCGGGUUGCUCGAGUGGCGAGCGGGUGAGUAACACGCGAGUAACCCGCCCUUGUCUUUGGGAUAACUUCUGGGAACUGGGGCUAAUACCGGAUAGGAGCUCCUGCUGCACGGUGGGGGAUGGAAAGUUUCGGCGGUUCGGGCUGGACUCGCUGCUUACCGGCUUGUUGGUGGGGUAGGGGCUUACCAAGGCUUCGACGGGUAGCCGGCCUGGGAGGGUGACCGGGCACAUGGGGACUGAGGGACGGCCCAGACGCCUACGGGACGCAGCGGGGGGGAACAUUGCGCAGUGGGCGGAAGCCUGAUGAAGCGACGCCGCGUGCGGGAUGACGUGUUUCGGGGUGUGAACCGCUUUGGCCGGUGCCGAGCCGUGAGUGACGGUAAUGGGUAAGGAAGCACCGGCUAACUACGUG
rnacentral:rRNA from 1 species